CCUACGGGGGGCAGCAGUGGGGAAUAUUGCACAAUGGGGGAAACCCUGAUGCAGCGACGCCGCGUGAGUGAAGAAGUAAUUCGUUAUGUAAAGCUCUAUCAGCAGGGAAGAAAAUGACGGUACCUGAGUAAGAAGCCCCGGCUAACUACGUGCCAGCAGCCGCGGUAAGACGGAGGGGGCAAGCGUUAUCCGGAUUUACUGGGUGUAAAGGGAGCGUAGACGGCAGUGCAAGUCUGGAGUGAAAGGCGGGGGCUCAACCCCCGGACUGCUCUGGAAACUGUACGGCUGGAGUGCAGGAGAGGUAAGUGGAAUUCCUGGUGUAGCGGUGAAAUGCGUAGAUAUUAGGAGGAACACCAGUGGCGAAGGCGGCUUACUGGACUGUAACUGACGUUGAGGCUCGAAAGCGUGGGGAGCAAACAGGAUUAGAUACCCGAGUAGUC
rnacentral:rRNA from 1 species